rnacentral:tRNA from 1 species
AGAAAGGUAAGCUAAAUAAAGCUAUUAGGUUCAUACCCUGCUUAUAGGGGUAACAAUCCCCUCCUCUCUA